CCGAUAUAGGGGAUAAUUAAGCUAGAAGGGGGGGUUGAAUAGCUUAAUAGCCAAUUUAAAAAUAAUAGUGUAGUUUUAAAAAGUUUAUCCCCUUUUUAAAAGCUUGUAUCGAGAGUUUUAGCAGUUAUGAUGUGCGGAAGUAAAUGAAAAGAAAUGAAAUACCACACGAGCGAUUUUAUCCUGGUUCGCGGUGGCUAACUCAACCCUUGGAGUCCACUCACCCCUACUCCAGUCCCCGAGCUCCUCCCCGGACUCGAGAUUUUCUCUACUAUAAAGAAACUCCUUUACAGUAGGCGGAGAAGCCUUUACAAAUAUAUAUCUUGGAGCGUAACUUCCCGUUACCUCCUCACUAUAAAUGUAAAUUACAAGACUUGUCUUGGAGCGUAACUCCCCGUCACCUC
rnacentral:lncRNA from 1 species